GGGCGCGAAGCCACUUUGCCGUGAAAGGACGCGGAAACGUAUGCGCAAUAUGCCUGCGAGGAAAGCGAUCAACGCCGCAAUCGCGGCUGGAAAACACUGACGUUUUCAUCCGGAGGAUGUACAGCGCACAAAGACCGAUCGACUGAAACGCCUUCAACUCUCAAGUCAAAGACAUGGACAGCUUGCUUGGGAAAUACCUCUUCGGGGUGGUUGCUGCCGUGCUCGCUAUGCUGAUCAUGGCCCCAAAUGAAGCUGGGGCAAUUCCACCUGAAGUCCUCUUAACCUUGGGACGAAAUGAAGAGCAUGUCGAGUAACGAAGCAUCAGUCUUCGGGAUACAGUGCUGCUGGUUGGCGUUCCAUUGACGACACCUGCUACGUAACUGAAUAAAAUUAAUGAAGCAAAAUACCCUGGAAUGAAUAAACUGGACAUUAUUGGAGACAAACUCACUUUUC